GGUUAAGCGAAUAAGCGUACACGGUGGAUGCCUAGGCAAUCAGAGGCGAUGAAGGACGUGCUAAUCUGCGAUAAGCGUCGGUAAGGUGAUAUGAACCGUUAUACCCGACGAUUUCCGAAUGGGGAAACCCAAUAUCCAAUGGAUAUUAUCAUGACGUGAAUACAUAGCGUCAUGAAGCGAACCGGGAGAACUGAAACAUCUCAGUACCCCGAGGAAAAGAAAUCAACCGAGAUUCCCCUAGUAGCGGCGAGCGAACGGGGAACAGCCCAGAGUCUUAAUCAAUAGCAGCAUCAGGAGAACGGUCUGGAAAGUCCGGCAGUAAAGGGUGAUAGCCCCGUAUCUGAAGAUGCUGUUAUUGUGAACUCGACGAGUAGGGCGGGACACGUGUUAUCCUGUCUGAAUAUGGGGGGACCAUCCUCCAAGGCUAAAUACUCCUGAUUGACCGAUAGUGAACCAGUACCGUGAGGGAAAGGCGAAAAGAACCCCGGCGAGGGGAGUGAAAAAGAACCUGAAACCGUGUACGUACAAGCAGUAGGAGCCUCUUUAUGGGGUGACUGCGUACCUUUUGUAUAAUGGGUCAGCGACUUAUAUUCUGUAGCAAGGUUAACCGUAUAGGGGAGCCGUAGGGAAACCGAGUCUUAACUGGGCGAAUGAGUUGCAGGGUAUAGACCCGAAACCCGGUGAUCUAUCCAUGGGCAGGUUGAAGGUUGGGUAACACUAACUGGAGGACCGAACCGACUAAUGUUGAAAAAUUAGCGGAUGACUUGUGGAUGGGGGUGAAAGGCCAAUCAAACCGGGAGAUAGCUGGUUCUCCCCGAAAGCUAUUUAGGUAGCGCCUCGUGAACUCAUCUUCGGGGGUAGAGCACUGUUUCGACUAGGGGGUCAUCCCGACUUACCAACUCGAUGCAAACUGCGAAUACCGAAGAAUGUUAUCACGGGAGACACACGGCGGGUGCUAACGUCCGUCGUGAAGAGGGAAACAACCCAGACCGCCAGCUAAGGUCCCAAAGUCAUGGUUAAGUGGGAAACGAAGUGGGAAGGCUCAGACAGCCAGGAUGUUGGCUUAGAAGCAGCCAUCAUUUAAAGAAAGCGUAAUAGCUCACUGGUCGAGUCGGCCCGCGCGGAAGAUGUAACGGGGCUAAACCAUGCACCGAAGCUGCGGCAGCGACACUAUGUGUUGUUGGGUAGGGGAGCGUUCUGUAAGCCUGCGAAGGUGUACUGUGAGGUAUGCUGGAGGUAUCAGAAGUGCGAAUGCUGACAUAAGUAACGAUAAUGCGGGUGAAAAACCCGCACGCCGGAAGACCAAGGGUUCCUGUCCAACGUUAAUCGGGGCAGGGUGAGUCGACCCCUAAGGCGAGGCUGAAAAGCGUAGUCGAUGGGAAACGGGUUAAUAUUCCCGUACUGGUGGUAACUGCGAUGGGGGAACGGAGAAGGCUAGGUUGUCCGGGCGACGGUCGUCCCGGUUCAAACAUGUAGGCAGAGUGAUUAGGCAAAUCCGGUCACUUAAUGCUGAGGUGUGAUGACGAACCACUAAGGUGGUGAAGCAAUUGAUGCCCUGCUUCCAGGAAAAGCCUCUAAGCUUCAGGUUACCAACAAUCGUACCCCAAACCGACACAGGUGGUCAGGUAGAGAAUACUCAGGCGCUUGAGAGAACUCGGGUGAAGGAACUAGGCAAAAUGGUGCCGUAACUUCGGGAGAAGGCACGCUGGCGGUAAGUGAAGUCCCUUGCGGACGGAGCCGAAGCCAGUCGAAGAUACCAGCUGGCUGCAACUGUUUAUUAAAAACACAGCACUGUGCAAACACGAAAGUGGACGUAUACGGUGUGACGCCUGCCCGGUGCUGGAAGGUUAAUUGAUGGGGUUAUCCGUAAGGAGAAGCUCUUGAUCGAAGCCCCAGUAAACGGCGGCCGUAACUAUAACGGUCCUAAGGUAGCGAAAUUCCUUGUCGGGUAAGUUCCGACCUGCACGAAUGGCGUAAUGAUGGCCAGGCUGUCUCCACCCGAGACUCAGUGAAAUUGAACUCGCUGUGAAGAUGCAGUGUACCCGCGGCAAGACGGAAAGACCCCGUGAACCUUUACUAUAGCUUGACACUGAACAUUGAGCCUUGAUGUGUAGGAUAGGUGGGAGACUAUGAAAUGUGGACGCCAGUCUGCAUGGAGUCAACCUUGAAAUACCACCCUUUAACGUUUGAUGUUCUAACCUAGGUCCAUAAUCUGGAUCGGGGACCGUGUCUGGUGGGUAGUUUGACUGGGGCGGUCUCCUCCUAAAGAGUAACGGAGGAGCACGAAGGUUGGCUAAGCAUGGUCGGACAUCAUGCGGUUAGUGCAAAGGCAUAAGCCAGCUUGACUGUGAGAGUGACGGCUCGAGCAGGUACGAAAGUAGGUCUUAGUGAUCCGGUGGUUCUGAAUGGAAGGGCCAUCGCUCAACGGAUAAAAGGUACUCCGGGGAUAACAGGCUGAUACCGCCCAAGAGUUCAUAUCGACGGCGGUGUUUGGCACCUCGAUGUCGGCUCAUCACAUCCUGGGGCUGAAGUAGGUCCCAAGGGUAUGGCUGUUCGCCAUUUAAAGUGGUACGCGAGCUGGGUUUAGAACGUCGUGAGACAGUUCGGUCCCUAUCUCGCCGUGGGCGUUGGAAGAUUGAGAGGGGUUGCUCCUAGUACGAGAGGACCGGAGUGAACGCACCACUGGUGUUCGGGUUGUCAUGCCAAUGGCAUUGCCCGGUAGCUAAGUGCGGAAGAGAUAACCGCUGAAAGCAUCUAAGCGGGAAACUUGCCUCGAGAUGAGUCUUCCCUGUCACCUUGAGUGACCUAAAGGAACGUUUAAGACUAAGACGUUGAUAGGCUGGGUGUGUAAGCGUAGCGAUACGUUGAGCUAACCAGUACUAAUGAACCGUGAGGCUUAACCUG
rnacentral:rRNA from 1 species